rnacentral:rRNA from 1 species
AACGAACGCUGGCGGCAGGCUUAACACAUGCAAGUCGAGCGCCCCGCAAGGGGAGCGGCAGACGGGUGAGUAACGCGUGGGAAUCUACCCAUCUCUACGGAAUAACGCAUGGAAACGUGUGCUAAUACCGUAUACGUCCUUCGGGAGAAAGAUUUAUCGGAGAUGGAUGAGCCCGCGUUGGAUUAGCGAGUUGGUGGGGUAAAGGCCUACCAAGGCGACGAUCCAUAGCUGGUCUGAGAGGAUGAUCAGCCACACUGGGACUGAUACACGGCCCAGACUCCUACGGGAGGCAGAAGUGGGGAAUAUUGGACAAUGGGCGCAAGCCUGAUCCAGCCAUGCCGCGUGAGUGAUGAAGGCCCUAGGGUUGUAAAGCUCUUUCACCGGUGAAGAUAAUGACGGUAACCGGAGAAGAAGCCCCGGCUAACUUCGUGCCAGCCGCCGCGGUAAUAC